AACCUUUAGCCACCUAACCAAUAUUAAAGGCAACGCCUGCCCAGUGAACAAUUAAACGGCCGCGGUACCCUAACCGUGCAAAGGUAGCGUAAUCACCUGUCUAUUAAUUGUAGACCCGUAUGAAUGGCAAAAUGAGGGUUUAACUGUCUCUUAUGAUGAUUCAAUUAAACUGAUCUCCCAGUCCAAAAGCUGGGAUACCCCCAUAAGACCAGAAGACCCUGUGAAGCUUAAACUAAACUAUUAAAUCCAAUAAUAGCUCCUUUAGGUUGGGGCGACCUUGGAAAAAAAAAGAACUUCCAAACUAAAUGACCUACACCAUAUCUCACUUAGGCCAACAAGCCUACAAUCGACCCAGCACAGCUGAAUAAUGAACCAAGUUACUCCAGGGAUAACAGCGCCAUCUUCUUCAAGAGCCCAUAUCAAAAAGAAGGUUUACGACCUCGAUGUUGGAUCAGGACAUCCUAAUGGUGCAGCCGCUAUUAAGGGUUCGUUUGUUCAACGAUUAAUAGUCCC
rnacentral:rRNA from 1 species